AGCGAACGCUGGCGGCAGGCCUAACACAUGCAAGUCGAACGAACUCUUCGGAGUUAGUGGCGGACGGGUGAGUAACACGUGGGAACGUGCCUUUUGGUUCGGAAUAACUCAGGGAAACUUGUGCUAAUACCGAAUGUGCCCUUCGGGGGAAAGAUUUAUCGCCAUUAGAGCGGCCCGCGUCUGAUUAGCUAGUUGGUGAGGUAACGGCUCACCAAGGCGGCGAUCAGUGGCUGGUCUGAGAGGAUGACCAGCCACACUGGGACUGAGACACGGCCCAGACUCCUACGGGAGGCAGCAGUGGGGAAUCUUGCGCAAUGGGCGAGAGCCUGACGCAGCCAUGCCGCGUGAAUGAUGAAGGUGUUAGGAUUGUAAAAUUCUUUCACCGGGGACGAUAAUGACGGUACCCGGAGAAGAAGCCCCGGCUAACUACGUG
rnacentral:rRNA from 1 species